UAGAAAUGCAGCACUGAUACGGGUACCGAUCCGACGCCUCUCGAAGGAUACUUAGGCUCUCCGUACCCUACUCCAACUCAAAACGUCCCCGACGUGCACAACGGUAACAUGUCUUUCCGCAUAUCUAAGAUUGGGUGUACAGGGAAACCCAACCCCUCGGGAGGAUGGAAGACAUGGCUAAUUUGAGAGGA
rnacentral:ribozyme from 1 species